rnacentral:rRNA from 1 species
UACGUAGGGUGCAAGCGUUGUCCGGAAUUAUUGGGCGUAAAGAGCUCGUAGGCGGUCUGUCGCGUCGGCUGUGAAAACCCGGAGCUCAACUCCGGGCCUGCAGUCGAUACGGGCAGACUGGAGUUCGGCAGGGGAGACUGGAAUUCCUGGUGUAGCGGUGAAAUGCGCAGAUAUCAGGAGGAACACCGGUGGCGAAGGCGGGUCUCUGGGUCGAUACUGACGCUGAGGAGCGAAAGCGUGGGGAGCGAACAGG